CCUACGGGAGGCAGCAGCGAGGAAUUUUGCGCAAUGGGCGAAAGCCUGACGCAGCAACGCCGCGUGGGGGAAAAAGGCCCUCGGGUUGUAAACCUCUUUUGCAGGGGAAGAUGAUGACGAUACCCUGCGAAUAAGCCACGGCUAACUACGUGCCAGCAGCCGCGGUAAUACGUGGGGGAACGAGCGUUGUUCGGAUUUACUGGGCGUAAAGGGUGCGUAGGCGGGUCGGUCAGUCGGGUGUGAAAACCCGCGGCUCAACCGCGGGCUGGCAUUCGAAACUGCCGGUCUUGAGUACGGGAGAGGGAAGUGGAAUUCCUGGUGUAGCGGUGAAAUGCGUAGAUAUCAGGAGGAACACCGUUGGCGAAGGCGGCUUCCUGGACCGAUACUGACGCUGAGGCACGAAGGCCGGGGGAGCAAACAGGAUUAGAUACCCUGGUAGUCCCGGCGGUAAACGAUGGGCACUAGGUGUCGGAGGUAUCGACCCCUCCGGUGCCGCAGUUAACACAUUAAGUGCCCCGCCUGGGGAGUACGGCCGCAAGGGUGAAACUCAAAGGAAUUGACGG
rnacentral:rRNA from 1 species